rnacentral:lncRNA from 1 species
GGGCGCGGGAGGGAGCGGCCCCGCGGGGCUGGCGAGGUGGGAGCGGGGAGCAGCUGGCCGGGGUGCGCUGGGGGAUCCGAAGGCUGUUUUUCCUCUCGUUUUAAUUGGUCUUUGUGACUCUAAUGGUGCCCACUUCACCUCGUGGCUGCGUGCUGGCCGGGGGCUCCCACGGCGCACCCCGUUGGAGGCUUUGGGGAGGCGCCCGGCAGCUGUUGCCGCCUCACCGAUGCUCCUGGUGGUGCUGGGCCUGGAAGGGCCUGGGAAACAAAGCUCAGGGUGCCAUGGGGUUGGGGAGCCCUGGCUUCCAGAGCAGGCCCCGUCAUGCCACCUUCACCGCAGCGUCACCCGAGCAGCCGCUUUUCCUAAGACCGGAUGACGGGAGAAACGCUGGCAAGUAAGAUUGAUUGGAGACGUGAGCCCAGCAGGGACCCCUCUCCUCUCUCAGGAAUAGGCUUUGGAAGCCUCAUUGCCUUAGUUCCGCCCGGCUAAGAGUCACUCGCUGAACACGGAGCACCUGGGCUGAGUGGUUUGGGUCCGGGCUCUGGGGCCCCACGUGCCCGGCUCUGCAUUGCCACUGUGUGACCUUGGAGAGUGGGCUUGACUUCGCUGAACCUGCCUCCUGCAGAAUGUAGCAGUGGCACUUGAAGGGCCGCUUCGAGGAUCCGAUGGUGACAACACGUGGAAAGACAGAAAAGUGGGCCACGAUGCUGCAGGUCUGUUUUCUGUCCCUCUGUCUUCGCCUUUGCUGGACGUCGUAGGAGGCUUUCAGCAGGAAAGGUCUGGCUUGCCGGUCUGGCUCCCUUCUCUCAGCGCGCAGUUGUGGGUGCCUGUGUUGUGGUCGGGAGUGGGGUCCCGUUGUCAGGAUGCAUCCCACCUGGCGUGUCCCCUCCCAUCAGCGGAUGGCGGCGGCGGCGGCGGCGGGGGGUGGGGGGGUUACUUUGAGUGUUUUAAUUCUUCCCCAGCCGUCUUCAUCCGCUUGGGCUGUUGUCACAAUGCCAUGUCCGGGGGGGCGGGGUGGGGGGCUCAGAUAACAGACGCUUAUUGCUCACGGUUUGGGAGGCUGGAAGCUCGAGAUCAGGUGCCAGCACACUGGGUUGCUGGGGGUGGGGUGCGCCUCCUUGCCGAGUCCUCACGUGGCUGCUUCUUUGUGCCCUUAUGGAGAGACCAUUGGCCUGUGUGAGCUCUUCGAGGGCACCGAUCCCGUCGGGUGAGCCCCAUUCGUGGGACCUCAUCUAACCUACCACCUUCCAAAUGCCCCCCCUCCAAAGACCAGGGCACGGGGCGGGGGGGAUAGGGCUUCACCGGCCCAGCAGGGGCACAAACACUCAGUCUGCAACAGCAUCUCACGACGCUCUUGUGAAGCUUGUGGUGUCAUUGUCGCGUCUGGUGGCUGAUGACAUGGGAGCCCUGGGCUGGUGCUGCCAGCCGCCUUCCUGCAGGCCAUGCAGCCCACGAGGCCAUGGAAGAGGCCCUCCCUGCCUGCCUUUCUCCCCCUUUGGGGUCCCUGCGAGACCGGGGCCCACGUGCCCUAAGGAAGACGAGUGCGCGCCCGCGGACCCGUCUCCCAGCACCAGGUCCGACCUUGGCGGCAGAUGCCUCUUUGUCCGCGCCGAGCCCCAUGGCCAGCUCGAAUAAUUGGAUUUUAAUAAAACGGAUGGGAGCGCGGGAGCAGUUCACCACCCUGGCCUGUGCCGAGGCCCUGCAAUUAAACCGAUUAUGUCUUGAGAGUCAA